rnacentral:tRNA from 1 species
GGUCAAGAGGUUAAGACACCGCCCUUUCACGGCGGUAACAGGGGUUCAAUUCCCCUA